rnacentral:rRNA from 1 species
UACGAAGGGGGCUAGCGUUGCUCGGAAUUACUGGGCGUAAAGCGCACGUAGGCGGCUUUCUAAGUCGGGGGUGAAAUCCUGGAGCUCAACUCCAGAACUGCCUUCGAUACUGGAGAGCUCGAGUCCGGGAGAGGUGAGUGGAACUGCGAGUGUAGAGGUGAAAUUCGUAGAUAUUCGCAAGAACACCAGUGGCGAAGGCGGCUCACUGGCCCGGU